CCUACGGGUGGCAGCAGUAGGGAAUAUUGCUCAAUGGGGGAAACACUGAAGCAGCAACGCCGCGUGGAGGAUGAAGGUUUUCGGAUUGUAAACUCCUUUUGUUAGAGAAGAUAAUGACGGUAUCUAACGAAUAAGCACCGGCUAACUCCGUGCCAGCAGCCGCGGUAAUACGGAGGGUGCCAGCGUUACUCGGAAGCACUGGGCGUAAAGAGGGCGUAGGCGGGAUAGCAAGUCAGAUGUGAAAUCCUAUGGCUUAACCAUAGAACUGCAGUUGAAACUGUUAUUCUAGAGUAUGGGAGAGGUAGGUGGAAUUCUUGGUGUAGGGGUAAAAUCCGUAGAGAUCAAGAGGAAUACUCAUUGCGAAGGCGACAUGCUAGAACAUAACUGACGCUGAUGCGCGAAAGCGUGGGGAGCAAACAGGAUUAGAUACCCUUGUAGUC
rnacentral:rRNA from 1 species